UGAGGAAUAUUGGGCAAUGCCCGCAAGGGUGACCCAGCAACGCCGCGUGGAGGAUGAAUGUCGUAAGAUUGUAAACUCCUGUUAGAGGGGAAGAAUAGUACCGGUUGGACCGGUAUAUGACUGUACCCUCAGAGAAAGCCCCGGCUAACUACGUGCCAGCAGCCGCGGUAAUACGUAGGGGGCAAGCGUUGUCCGGAUUUACUGGGUGUAAAGGGCGCGCAGGCGGGAUAAAAAGUCAGUGGUGAAAUCCUACAGCUUAACUGUAGAACUGCCUUUGAUACUGUUAUUCUUGAGUUCGGGAGAGAGAGACGGAAUUCCAGGUGUAGUGGUGAAAUACGUAGAUAUCUGGAAGAACACCGGUUGCGAAGGCGGUCUCUUGGUCCGACACUGACGCUGAGGCGCGAAAGCGUGGGGAGCAAACA
rnacentral:rRNA from 1 species